GACGAACGCUGGCCGCGUGCCUAAUACAUGCAAGUUGAGCGCUGAAGGUUGGUACUUGUACCGACUGGAUGAGCAGCGCACGGGUGAGUAACGCGUGGGGAAUCUGCCUUUGAGCGGGGGACAACAUUUGGAAACGAAUGCUAAUACCGCAUAAAAACUUUAAACACAAGUUUUAAGUUUGAAAGAUGCAAUUGCAUCACUCAAAGAUGAUCCCGCGUUGUAUUAGCUAGUUGGUGAGGUAAAGGCUCACCAAGGCGAUGAUACAUAGCCGACCUGAGCGGGUGAUCGGCCACAUUGGGACGGAGACACGGCCCAAACGCCUACGGGAGGCAGCAGUAGGGAAUCUUCGGCAAUGGACGAAAGUCUGACCGAGCAACGCCGCGUGAGGGAAGAAGGGUUUCGGAUCGUAAAACUCUGUUGGUAGAGAAGAACGUUGGUGAGAGUGGAAAGCUCAUCAAGUGACGGUAACUACCCAGAAAGGGACGGCUAACUACGUG
rnacentral:rRNA from 1 species